rnacentral:rRNA from 2 species
CUUUGGGUGUGACUGCGUACCUUUUGUAUAAUGGGUCAGCGACUUAUAUUCUGUAGCAAGGUUAACCGAAUAGGGGAGCCGGAGGGAAACCGAGUCUUAACCGGGCGUUAAGUUGCAGGGUAUAGACCCGAAACCCGGUGAUCUAGCCAUGGGCAGGUUGAAGGUUGGGUAACACUAACUGGAGGACCGAACCGACUAAUGUUGAAAAAUUAGCGGAUGACCUGUGGCUGGGGGUGAAAGGCCAAUCAAACCGGGAGAUAGCUGGUUCUCCCCGAAAGCUAUUUAGGUAGCGCCUCGUGAAUUCAUCUCCGGGGGUAGAGCACUGUUUCGGCUAGGGGGCCAUCCCGGCUUACCAACCCGAUGCAAACUGCGAAUACCGGAGAAUGUUAUCACGGGAGACACACGGCGGGUGCUAACGUCCGUCGUGAAGAGGGAAACAACCCAGACCGCCAGCUAAGGUCCCAAAGUCAUGGUUAAGUGGGAAACGAUGUGGGAAGGCCCAGACAGCCAGGAUGUUGGCUUAGAAGCAGCCAUCAUUUAAAGAAAGCGUAAUAGCUCACUGGUCGAGUCGGCCUGCGCGGAAGAUGUAACGGGGCUAAACCAUGCACCGAAGCUGCGGCAGCGACACUGUGUGUUGUUGGGUAGGGGAGCGUUCUGUAAGCCUGUGAAGGUGUGUCGUGAGGCAUGCUGGAGGUAUCAGAAGUGCGAAUGCUGACAUAAGUAACGAUAAAGCGGGUGAAAAGCCCGCUCGCCGGAAGACCAAGGGUUCCUGUCCAACGUUAAUCGGGGCAGGGUGAGUCGACCCCUAAGGCGAGGCCGAAAGGCGUAGUCGAUGGGAAACGGGUUAAUAUUCCCGUACUUGGUGUUACUGCGAAGGGGGGACGGAGAAGGCUAUGUUGGCCGGGCGACGGUU